GUGGGGGUGUGGGUGGCUGGGGGGGAGAGGAGAGAGGGUAGGAAGGAAAAAAUUGGAGGUAGGGUGAGGGAAGGGGGAGGGUUGAAGGGAAACUAAUGAAACAGAGGACAAAGGAGAAUAACAAGUCAAAAGCAAUGCAUGUAAAUACAGAGCAAGCAAGUAGGAAAGCUAGGCAUAGCACAGCAAAAGAGAGCACAGCAACAGAAGGCAAAGAAAUGACAAAAAGCAACCUUGCAGGAAUGGAGGACUCUGGCCAGAGCUGUGCCCCUGCUUGCCACAGGAGCUGCGCGGGAGGAGAAGAAUGUGGGCCAAAAGGAAUGGAGGACUCUGGCCAGAGCUGUGCCCCUGCUUGCCACAGGAGCUGCGCGGGAGGAGAAGAAUGUGGGCCAAAAGGUAAGAGGAGCUCCUUUGGGUUCUGGGCUUGAAGCAAAGCUGAGAAGCCAUGCCCGGGAGGAGGUGUGGGUAGCUACAGGCCAGCUUGCUAUCUCCCCAAGAGAUGAGGUGUGUGGGCUAGGCACCGGGCAGGAGUGCUGGCCAGAAGCAAGCAUCUCUGUGGAGGAAGGCAAAGGGCGGAGGAGGUUCAAGGGUAGCUACCCGGGCAUGGCCUUGCUCAGCAAGGGGAGGAAAAGCGUGAAGGGCACGAGAAGGGGACAGAGAAGGGCAGGCAGUAGGCGUGAAGCUGUGAGCAGAGUAGAGAGCAACUUGGCAGAGCAGCACGCAGAGUAGGCAAGUGUUGGGGUUUGGCGUGAGUAGCAGCAAAAGCCCAUAGCAUCAAGGAGCAGGAAGUGAGGAGAAGGUAAGUGAAGGGCAGGCAAGGUACUGGGAGGCAAAGGCAAGGGGAAAGGGGAGGGUAAGGGAGAAAAGAGGGGAUGGGGAGGGGAGGGGAUGGGUGAAGAGCAGAGCGGAGGGAAGGGCUGAGGGGAGGGCUGAAGGCAAACCUGUGAUGAAAAAAGAAAAGAAAAGAAAAAAUAAGAACAAAAAAUAUGAAAAAAGAGAAAAAAAAAAGAAAAAUAAGAAAAAGAGAAAAAAUGAAAAAAAAAAAAAAAAAUGAAUGAAAAAGAAAAAAGAAAAAGAAAAAAGAAAAUGAACAAAAAGACAAAAAGAGAAAAGAAAAAGAAAAGAACAAAAAAGAAAAAAGAGAAAAAAAAAAAGAAAAAAUAAAAAAAAAGAAAAAAAGAGAAAAAUAGAAAUAAAAAGAGAAAAGAGAAAAAUAUGAAAAAAGAAAAAGGAAAAAGAAAAGAAAAAACUAAUAGAUGAAACAGAAAAACAAACAAAAAACCGAAUAAUGACAAGAGAAGAAAGGGAAAGAGAAAAGAAGAAAAAAGCCAAGUGAAAAAGUAAAGAAUAACUCAAAGGAAGGAGUGGAUGGCAAGAAAUACAGAGAAAGCAAUGCAUAGCAGAGCAAAGGAAAGCAAGGCAAAAUAGCAGCCAAAGCCACGAGAAUCAAGAAGUCAGUGAAGAGCAGGAAAGGUAAGUUUCCCUUAAAGCAAGGGGGAAUGGUAGUGGAUGGGGGCAAAAGAGAGGGGAGGGGAGGAGGGGGGGAAGUGAAGGAGAGGGGGGAGAGGGGGAGGAGCAGUGGGGCUAGAGGGGGUGAGGGGGGCGAGAGGGGGGAGGGAGGAGGGGUGGAGAGGGGCAGAGGUGAGGGGGGUGAGUAAGUGGGGGUGUGGGUGGCUGGGGGGGAGAGGAGAGAGGGUAGGAAGGAAAAAAUUGGAGGUAGGGUGAGGGAAGGGGGAGGGUUGAAGGGAAACUAAUGAAACAGAGGACAAAGGAGAAUAACAAGUCAAAAGCAAUGCAUGUAAAUACAGAGCAAGCAAGUAGGAAAGCUAGGCAUAGCACAGCAAAAGAGAGCACAGCAACAGAAGGCAAAGAAUGACAAAAAGCAACCUUGCAGGAAUGGAGGACUCUGGCCAGAGCUGUGCCCCUGCUUGCCACAGGAGCUGCGCGGGAGGAGAAGAAUGUGGGCCAAAAGGUAAGAGGAGCUCCUUUGGGUUCUGGGCUUGAAGCAAAGCUGAGAAGCCAUGCCCGGGAGGAGGUGUGGGUAGCUACAGGCCACUUGCUAUCUCCCCAAGAGAUGAGGUGUGUGGGCUAGGCACCGGGCAGGAGUGCUGGCCAGAAGCAAGCAUCUCUGUGGAGGAAGGCAAAGGGCGGAGGAGGUUCAAGGGUAGCUACCGGGCAUGGCCUUGCUCAGCAAGGGGAGGAAAAGCGUGAAGGGCACGAGAAGGGGACAGAGAAGGGCAGGCAGUAGGCGUGAAGCUGUGAGCAGAGUAGAGAGCAACUUGGCAGAGCAGCACGCAGAGUAGGCAAGUGUUGGGGUUUGGCGUGAGUAGCAGCAAAAGCCCAUAGCAUCAAGGAGCAGGAAGUGAGGAGAAGGUAAGUGAAGGGCAGGCAAAGGUACUGGGAGGCAAAAGGCAAGGGGAAAGGGGAGGGUAAGGGAGAAGAGGGGAUGGGGAGGGGAGGGGAUGGGUGAAGAGCAGAGCGGAGGGAAGGGCUGAGGGGAGGGCUGAAGGCAAACCUGUGAUGAAAAAAGAAAAGAAAAGAAAAAAUAAGAACAAAAAAUAUGAAAAAAGAGAAAAAAGAAAAGAAAAUAAGAAAAAGAGAAAAAAUGAAAAGAAAAAAAGAAAAAAUGAAUGAAAAAGAGAAAAAAGAUAAAGACAAAAGAAAUUGAACAAAAGACAAAAAAGAGAAAAGAAAGAAAGAAAAUGAACAAAAAAGAAAAAAAAGAGAAAAGACAGAAAAAGAAAACGAAGAAAAGAGAAAGAAAACAAGAGAAAUAGAAUAAAAAAGAGAAAAGAAAAAAAAAGAAAAAGGAAAAAAGAAAGAAAAAACUAAUAGAUGAAAACAGAAAAACAAACAAAAAACCGAAUAAUGACAAGAGAAGAAAGGUAAAGAGAAAAGAAGAAAAAGCCAAGUGAAAAAGUAAAGAAUAACUCAAGGAAGGAGUGGAUGGCAAGAAAUACAGAGAAAGCAAUGCAUAGCAGAGCAAAGGAAAGCAAGGCAAAAUAGCAGCCAAAGCCACGAGAAUCAAGAAGUCAGUGAAGAGCAGGAAAGGUAAGUUUCCCUUAAAGCAAGGGGGAAUGGUAGUGGAUGGGGGCAAAAGAGGGGAGGGGAGGGGGAGGGGAAGUGAAGGAGAGGGGGGAGAGGGGGAGGAGCAGUGGGGCUAGAGGGGGGUGAG
rnacentral:lncRNA from 7 species